rnacentral:lncRNA from 1 species
UUAAAAACAACAACACACCCUUCUGAAGCCCCUUCUCCCCUCAGAGCCAGGUGGCUGGUGUUGAGGAUGGGGUAGGGCAGCCUGAAGCAGCAAGGGCCCAGUCCUGCAAGACCAAGGGAGUCCAGUCCAAAACUCCCCCAGGACACUGUCUCUCACCCAGUUCCUGAGGGAUGGCAGAUAACACAGAAGACUCCCCCAAAGGCAGGAAUCCUGGUCCAGCAGGGCCCUGGCACAGGCUUCUGGCUUAUUAUGAUGAUGUAAGAUACACCACUGUGACAUCUUCUCUUACUGAGAGUUCUCCACCCAUGUAACUAAUUGAUGCAGAGGAAGCAGAAACAAUUAACAGAAAAUGGUAUGGAAAUAGUAACAGCCAGAGCUUAGGAAUUAUUCCCCCUUCCCCCUAAAAAAUCUGUUAACUGUUAUACAGCAAAACCAUGUAAGAUAGAUGAGUGCCUGUGUGAUGCAUUCAGGGGAUAAUUCCUUCUGGACCCACUAUUGGCCACAUUCUUGGAAAGCAGAAAUAGCCACAAGUCCUGUCAUGACAGUGGAUUCAUCUUUGCCAUUAUGCAGCAACAUACACACUCAGAGAAAGAUUCUGAGGACUCUACAAGUCACCAAAAAGCCACCCAAUAAAGUGAAAAUGGAUAUCCAGACA